rnacentral:rRNA from 1 species
AACGAACGCUGGCGGCAUGCCUAACACAUGCAAGUCGAACGAAGCCUUCGGGCUUAGUGGCGCACGGGUGCGUAACGCGUGGGAAUCUGCCCUUGGGUUCGGAAUAACAGUUAGAAAUGACUGCUAAUACCGAAUGAUGUCUUCGGACCAAAGAUUUAUCGCCCAAGGAUGAGCCCGCGUCGGAUUAGCUAGUUGGUGAGGUAAAGGCUCACCAAGGCGGCGAUCCUUAGCUGGUCUGAGAGGAUGAUCAGCCACACUGGGACUGAGACACGGCCCAGACUCCUACGGGAGGCAGCAGUGGGGAAUAUUGCGCAAUGGGCGAAAGCCUGACGCAGCGACGCCGCGUGGGUGAUGAAGGCCUCGGUCGUAAGCC